rnacentral:rRNA from 1 species
CACGGGGGGAGCAAGCGUUGUUCGGAAUCACUGGGCGUAAAGGGCGUGUAGGCGGUUCGGUAAGUGGAAUGUGAAAUCCCUCGGCUCACCCGAGGACCUGCAUCCCAAACUGCCGAGCUUGAGUAUGGGAGAGGAUGAGGGAAUUCCUGGUGUAGCGGUGAAAUGCGUAGAUAUCAGGAGGAACACCGGUGGCGAAGGCGCUCAUCUGGCCCCAAUACUGACGCUGAGACGCGAAAAGCGUGGGGGAGGCAAACAGG